rnacentral:rRNA from 1 species
UACGGGGGGGGCAAGCGUUGUUCGGAAUUACUGGGCGUAAAGGGCUCGUAGGUGGCCAACUAAGUCAGACGUGAAAUCCCCAGGCUCAACUUGGGAACUGCGUCUGAUACUGGAUGGCUUGAAUUCGGGAGAGGGAUGUAGAAUUCCAGGUGUAGCGGUGAAAUGCGUAGAUAUCUGGAGGAAUACCGGUGGCGAAGGCGGCAUCCUGGACCGAGAUUGACACUGAUGAGCGAAAGCUAGGGGAGCAAACAGG